rnacentral:rRNA from 1 species
GGCAGCAGUGGGGAAUAUUGCACAAUGGGCGAAAGCCUGAUGCAGCGACGCCGCGUGAGGGAUGACGGCCUUCGGGUUGUAAACCUCUUUCAGCAGGGAAGAAGCUUAAUCGUGACGGUACCUGCAGAAGAAGCACCGGCUAACUACGUGCCAGCAGCCGCGGUAAUACGUAGGGUGCGAGCGUUGUCCGGAAUUAUUGGGCGUAAAGAGCUUGUAGGCGGUUUGUCGCGUCUGCUGUGAAAACUCGGGGCUUAACCCCGAGCCUGCAGUGGGUACGGGCAGACUAGAGUAUGGUAGGGGAGACUGGAAUUCCUGGUGUAGCGGUGGAAUGCGCAGAUAUCAGGAGGAACACCGAUGGCGAAGGCAGGUCUCUGGGCCAUAACUGACGCUGAGAAGCGAAAGCAUGGGGAGCGAACAGGAUUAGAUACCCUGGUAGUCCAUGCCGUAAACGUUGGGCGCUAGGUGUGGGGCUCAUUCC